rnacentral:rRNA from 1 species
GAUCCUGGCUCAGGAUGAACGCUAGCGGCAGGCCUAACACAUGCAAGUCGAGGGGCAGCAGGGAGUAGCAAUACUCUGCUGGCGACCGGCGCACGGGUGCGUAACGCGUAUGCAACCUACCCGUAACAGGGGGUAUAACGGAGGGAAACUUCCACUAAUCCCCCAUAUUGUCGAGGGACCGCAUGGUCUUUUGACGAAAGCCUUGGUGGUUACGGAUGGGCAUGCGUGGCAUUAGGUAGUCGGCGGGGUAACGGCCCACCGAGCCAACGAUGCCUAGGGGAGCUGAGAGGCUAAUCCCCCACACUGGUACUGAGACACGGACCAGACUCCUACGGGAGGCAGCAGUGAGGAAUAUUGGUCAAUGGGCGGAAGCCUGAACCAGCCAUGCCGCGUGAGGGAAGGAGGCCCUACGGGUCGUAAACCUCAUUUACACGGGAGCAAUAAGGUUCGUGCGCGGACCGAUGAGAGUACCGUGGGAAUAAGCAUCGGCUAACUCCGUGCCAGCAGCCGC